CAGCCGCCGCGGGAAUACGUAGGUCCCGAGCGUUGUCCGGAUUUAUUGGGCGUAAAGCGAGCGCAGGCGGUUAGAUAAGUCUGAAGUUAAAGGCUGUGGCUUAACCAUAGUACGCUUUGGAAACUGUUUAACUUGAGUGCAAGAGGGGAGAGUGGAAUUCCGUGUGUAGCGGUGAAAUGCGUAGAUAUAUGGAGGAACACCGGUGGCGAAAGCGGCUCUCUGGUCUGUAACUGACGCUGAGGCUCGAAAGCGUGGGGAGCAAACAGGAUUAGAUACCCCCGUAGUCCCUGUCUCUUAUACC
rnacentral:rRNA from 1 species